GAUUAAGUGUCGUAAGGGCAUUUGGUGGAUGCCUUGGCAUGCACAGGCGAUGAAGGACGUGAUACGCUGCGAUAAGCCGUGGGGAGCUGCGAAUGAGCUUUGAUCCAUGGAUCUCCGAAUGGGGCAACCCACCUUAGAUACUUGGAAAAUCAUUCUGGUUGUUGGGUCUUUGAUUUAGCAACCCGAAUGGUUUCCAAGUAUCGUUAAUAAGGUAUCUUACCUUCGAAUACAUAGGGGUAAGAAGCGAACGCAGGGAACUGAAACAUCUAAGUACCUGCAGGAAAGGACAUCAACCGAGACUCCGCAAGUAGUGGCGAGCGAACGCGGACCAGGCCAGUGGCAAUGAGGAAUAAAGCGGAACCAUCUGGAAAGUUGGGCCGACGGGUGACAGCCCCGUACGCGUAGAACACUCAUUGUCCUAGA
rnacentral:ncRNA from 1 species